AUCUGGCGAGAGCUGUCACAAAGGAGCCACUUUUCCAAACCCUCCUCUCAAUGGAUCGCCAAAUGGAAACCCGGAGUGCGGACAGCACUGGCUCACCAUCGAGACGUUUUCAAAAUUCUGUUUUGUCGUAGGAAAAUAGAAUGGGGCCCAGGGCUGUUUCUCAAUAAUCAUCACUAAUGAUUGUAAACUGCUCUCAAAAGGGAUGCAUGGAGGUGUUGCCAGGUUUGGUAAUUCAUUUGGUUCAAGGAAUUUCUUCAUCUGCUGCUGCUGCUGCUGCUGCCGCGAAGUCACUUCAGUCGUGUCCAACUCUGUGCGACCCCAUAGGCGGCAGC